ACGGGUGAGGAACAUGUACGCAACCUUCCUUUAACUGGAGGAUAGCCCCUCGAAAGAGGGAUUAAUACUCCGUAAGAUAAUGAGAUGGCAUCAUUUUAUUAUUAUAGCUCCGGCGGUUAAAGAUGGGCGUGCAACUGAUUAGAUAGUUGGCGGGGUAACGGCCCACCAAGUCAGCGAUCAGUAACUGGUGUGAGAGCACGACCAGUCACACGGGCACUGAGACACGGGCCCGACUCCUACGGGAGGCAGCAGUAAGGAAUAUUGGUCAAUGGACGCAAGUCUGAACCAGCCAUGCCGCGUGGAGGAUUAAGGCCCUCUGGGUUGUAAACUCCUUUUAUCUGGGAAGAAAUGUUUUGAUUCUUCGGAACUUGACGGUACCAGAGGAAUAAGCACCGGCUAACUCCGUGCCAGCAGCCGCGGUAAUACGGAGGGUGCAAGCGUUAUCCGGAUUCACUGGGUUUAAAGGGUGCGUAGGCGGGCAGGUAAGUCAGUGGUGAAAUCUCCGAGCUUAACUCGGAAACUGCCGUUGAUACUAUUUGUCUUGAAUAUUGUGGAGGUAAGCGGAAUAUGUCAUGUAGCGG
rnacentral:rRNA from 1 species